GACGGAGGGUGCUAGCGUUGUUCGGAAUCACUGGGCGUAAAGGGCGCGUAGGCGGCCUCAGGUGUCGGAUGUGAAAGCCCGGGGCUCAACCCCGGAGGUGCAUCCGAAACUCUGGGGCUGGAGGUCGGAAGAGGAGGGUGGAAUACCCAGUGUAGAGGUGAAAUUCGUAGAUAUUGGGUGGAACACCGGUGGCGAAAGCGGCUCUCUGGCUCGACCCUGACGCUGAGAGGCGAAAGCGUGGGGAGCGAACGGG
rnacentral:rRNA from 1 species